rnacentral:lncRNA from 1 species
GUUUAUAUAUUUCCAAAAACACAUGGUAAAUGAUGGAUUUGUUGAAGAACUAUUUUCUUGUAUAACAACUUUUCUAUGUCGAUUAAUUUGCAGUUCCAGAACUUGUCUUAGAUUGUAAAAGCACUUGCUUAGAGAACUUCUCUUGAUUGAAAUUUUAUCUGUUCAUACAUGCUGCAGUUAAAACAAAAUUUCAGAAAAAAACCCAGAAACGUAAAAAGAAAACAAUAAUUGAAACAAACCAACAAUAUGGAGAUAGCAAACACUUCAAAUAUUGAAUAUUUACAUUGAAAUCAGACCAGCUGCUAAAGAAAACCACAUACUUGCAUGAAUCAACAUUCAUCAUUAUUUCCAUUCCUGUUGAAUCUGACAACAGUUUAACCUGAAAAGUAAUGAUGCUUCAUGCAAUGUAUUCAACGAAGGAAAAACAGAUAAUUCCUAGCCCGUGCAGAGGAAUGAAGACACAAGGUAAGUGAAUGGGACGGAAAUAAGUCCCAAACCACAAAGUGUUGAACGUUUAGACUGAAUUAUGAUGUUAACUCAUUUCAGCAGCUGUUUGAAAAUUUUGAAAUGAGUCAAAUUAUCAUUCAGUUUAGCUUCAGUGUAAUGUGAUACAUCAACAAUCUAUACCUUGUCAUUGGUAUAAAAAAAAGCACAAAUAUGGUACCUUGUACUUGGUAUGGAUCGUUCAACAUACUUACAAAUUUGAAAACAUCAAAAAGGGGGAGGUGGGUUGUAGAGAUACAAUU